UUGAGGAGGGAGGAGGGGAGAAGAAAACUCCAAACAGCAGAAAACAUUCCUGAGUUCUGUGCGCAGUGCCUUUGAUGGGUGUGCUCAGAUUUUUUUCAUCGAGGUGGUUUUGAAUCAGUUGCAGGCCUUCUUUCAUGUGGGUAACUAUUUAAAGAUGUGAUAUUCGGGGCAAGCGUUUGUACCAACUCAUUUUCUCUGUCUUCUCCCAGGCCGCUGAGGACCGCACAGGGGAGCGGGCGGCGGCAUCGCGAGGACUGACCACUGGGUGGCACUGUUGCUCCAUGGAGAGCUGCCAACGGCGUCCCCGGGGACCCGGCCACGUUGAGCACAAAAGGCAGAGGAGCCUGGCAACCAUGUCCCAAGUUGGAAGGAAGCUCUGAGAACCCUGCUCCCCAGAAAUCCUGAGCAAAGGCUGGCUGGCCUACAGGAGCAGUCUAGAGUAAGAGCUGUUUCCUGGCAGAGGAUCAAGUAUCCAGGUCACAUUGAAGAGACAUGUGAGGACUCCAAUGGAGAACAAUUUGAGAGUGAGAAACCAGUUCUGGAGGCCAGGAAGUUCAAGAUCAAGGUGUUGGCAAGUUCAGUGUCUGCUGAGGACCUGAUCUCUCUUCUUUCAAGAUGGCAUCUUGUUGCUCUUCCCUCCAGAGAGUAGAAAUGCUGGAACCUCACAUGGAGGAAAAAAUGAAAAGGACCAAUGCUAGUUCCCUUCAGCCUUUUUAUGAACUCACUAAUUCCCAUUGAGGGCUCCACAUACAUGACUUAAUCACCUCCUAAAUGCCUGACUUCCUAAUACUCUCAUUUUGAAGAUUAAGUUUCAACAUAUGAAUUUGGGGGUCAUAUUCAGAACAUAGCACUUAUGAUACUAUCUCAAAUCAUAGACUGCUUUCUCGGUGGGCAUCUAUCUCAGUUUCUUUUCUGUUGUUAUUACAGAGUACCUGAGCCUGAGUAAUUUAUAAAGAAAAUACAUUUAUUUUGGCUCAUGGCUCUAUAGGCUGGGAAGUCCAAGAUUGGGCGGUUACAUCUGGUUGGCUCCUGGUGCGGGCCUCCUGCCGCAUCAUAACAAGGUAGAGAAGUGAAAGGGAAGGUGGGCUUGUAGGAAGGGGGCAAAGCAUGAAGGGCAGGCUUGCUUUAUAGAAACUGGGACACAGCACCCCACAGGAUGAGUGUAUAAAGGCUAGACAGACAAGGGGAUUGUUGUGUUGAACCUGAAAAGUCCCCUCACCUGGCAAUGCUCUCUGUUCCCUGUGAGAAGAAGGGGUUUCUUUUCUUCUGGGAUGAUUCAUCCCUUCACCUGUGGCCUUCCCUAGAGCCCAUCCUUGUGCCAUUCUGCUCUCCAGGCACAUCUCUCUCAGAUGAAUUCCCUCUUCCCUCUUCCUCUGGCCCCUCCUGUUUAUUUAUCUGUUUCCUCACCACUGUGUAAUCAGGUAGGCCCCACUGCUGUGACCUCUGGAAUAAUGAUUGAAUCUGCCCUAUCCUCUCCACAGUGAUGCCUGGGACCCAGCUGAGAUCUCCAUCAUCUCUCAAAACAACUGUGCACUGACCUCCUGACCUAAGCCCAGCCUCUGCCCACUCAGACUGACCUUCACGCAGCUGCACAAUGCUGCAUUUGGAAGCCGGACCUGACCACAUUCGUUUCCCUCUGUUGAGAUUCAUGUUCUGGAGAAAUGAAAAUGCUGUCUCAGUGGAAUGUUGAUUAGCUGGAGUGGAGACCCAAGAUCUCUGUCCAGGCAGGGCCAUCAACUAGAGGUGGCCCUGUGAUUGAUGAGUGACCAGCCAUGUGUGGAGAAAAGCAAUGUGAACAACUUCUGACUUCGCUGUUAAAGAAAAUUGGUCUGUCCCCCAUUUCCUUGCAUUCCCAUUCUUACUGGCUGAAAUUCAAAGCUGAUAAAUGGAGCUAGAGCAGAUAGCUGGGAAAAUGAGUUGAGGGUCUUACAUUAAGACUUGCCAGCAAGAAGAAGAAUUUUUCCAGGGUUCCUGACACCGCCAAAUUGUUCGAUCAGCUCUGAACUCUAUACUGAGAUUCUUUAAGUAUGAGAGACAUGAACUUUGACUGGCUUAAGUGAGCUAUUGAGGUCUCUUUGCUAUUGUGACCUAACUCAGGGGUCAGCAAAUAACACUCUGUGCGCAAAAUCUGACUACGAUCUGUUUUUGUAACUAAAUAAAAUUUCACUGAAACACACCCAUGCUCAUUUAUUUAGGUAUGGCUGCUUUCAUGAUACCAUGGCACAUUUGACUACCUAUAGACAGUGAUAUGAUGUGGAUCUGUGUCCCCACCCAAAUCUCAUGUUGAAAUGUAAUCCCCCUGUGCUGGAGGUGGGAUCUGGUGGGAGGUGAAAUGGGGGCGGUUUCUCAAGAAUGGUUUAGCUCCAUUUCUCUGCUGCUGUAUUCAUGAUAGUAAGUGAGUGAGUUGUCACAAGAUCUGAUUGUGUAAAAGUGUGUGGCACCUCCCCCUUCUCUCUUGCUCCUUCUCGGCCAUGUAAGACCUGCCUGCUUCCCCUUCACCUUCCACCAUGAUUGUAAAUUUCAU
rnacentral:lncRNA from 1 species